rnacentral:rRNA from 1 species
AUGGUUAGAUGGAAUGAACUCAUCAAUUUAGUUAAGCAGGUUGUGCUAUCUGACUCUCCAGACCAACCUGUUUGGAUGCUGGAACCUUCCAGCAAGUACUCUGUCAAGUCCUUAUAUAAUUUAAUCAACUUUGGGGGGUGUGCUGUGAUCAAAGAUGAUAUUUGGAAAAUUAAAGUCCCGUCCAAUACCCAUGUCUUUCUGUGGUUGAUUUACUAUAAUAAGAUCUUGACUAGAGAUAAUCUUGCCAAGCGUAGGCAUGUAGAGGACAUGACAUGUGUCCUUUGUGAUGAACCUGAGACAAUUCAACAUCUUUUCUUUGAAUGUAUUGUUGCUAGACAAGUUUGGGAACUGGUAGCUGAUAGUUUAAACAUUAUUACACAUGAUUCUUUUGCUUUGCUGUCUUCCUUCUGGAAGACGAGGAAACAUUAUGAAGCUUUAAACAUAGUUGUUGCUGCUGCUUUGUGGAGGUUAUGGCAUUUGCAAAAUGACUUUUUUUCAGGGGCGAAGAUGGCGAAGUAUACGUUGUGCUUUGGAUCUGUUGAGAGCAAUGACCAGGCAAUGGAAAAUUCUAUGUUCAGAGGCUCAGGGUACGCUGGGGAGUUGCUUAGGAUCGCUUGGUACUAA